GCAGAGGUACUCAAGAGGUCCAAGAGGAAGCACUCGAAAUGCUUUAGGCCGGUUAUCCGGUGCGUGGGUUCGAAUCCCAUCCUCUGCG
rnacentral:tRNA from 1 species